rnacentral:rRNA from 1 species
AUUGAACGCUGGCGGCAGGCCUAACACAUGCAAGUCGAGCGGAUGAAGGGAGCUUGCUCCUGGAUUCAGCGGAGGACGGGUGAGUAAUGCCUAGGAAUCUGCCUGGUAGUGAGGGAUAACGUCCGGAAACGGGCGCUAAUACCGCAUACGUCCUGAGGGAGAAAGUGGGGGAUCUUCGGACCUCACGCUAUCAGAUGAGUCUAGGUCGGAUUAGCUAGUUGGUGGGGUAAAGGCCUACCAAGGCGACGAUCCGUAACUGGUCUGAGAGGAUGAUCAGUCACACUGGAACUGAGACACGGUCCAGACUCCUACGGGAGGCAGCAGUGGGGAAUAUUGGACAAUGGGCGAAAGCCUGAUCCAGCCAUGCCGCGUGUGUGAAGAAGGUCUUCGGAUUGUAAAGCACUUUAAGUUGGGAGGAAGGGCAGUAAGUUAAUACCUUGCUGUUUUGACGUUACCAACAGAAUAAGCACCGGCUAACUUCGUG